CAGUCGCCGCGGGAAUACGGGGGGGGCAAGUGUUAUUCGGAAUGACUGGGCGUAAAGGGCACGUAGGCGGUGAAAAGGGUGGAAAGUGAAAGUCUCCAAAACACUGGCGGGGUGCUUUCUUGACCAUUUCACUUGAGUGAGAUAGGGGAGAGUGGAAUUACGUGUGGAGGGAUCAAAUCCUAAGAUAUACGAAGGAACGCCAACCGCGAAGGCAGCUCUCUGGGUCCCCACUGACGCUGGGGUGCGAAAGCAUGGGGAGCAAACAGGAUCAGAUACCCGCGUAGUCCCUGUCUCUUAUACA
rnacentral:rRNA from 1 species